UGGGGAAUAUUGGACAAUGGGGGCAACCCUGAUCCAGCCAUGCCGCGUGAGUGAUGAAGGCCUUCGGGUUGUAAAGCUCUUUUGGCGGGGACGAUGAUGACGGUACCCGCAGAAUAAGCCCCGGCUAACUUCGUGCCAGCAGCCGCGGUAAGACGAAGGGGGCUAGCGUUGUUCGGAAUUACUGGGCGUAAAGCGAGUGUAGGCGGUUGCCGUAGUCAGGUGUGAAAGCCUUGAGCUCAACUCAAGAAAUGCACUUGAUACUGGGUGACUAGAGGACCGGAGAGGAUAGUGGAAUUCCCAGUGUAGUGGUGAAAUACGUAGAGAUUGGGAAGAACACCAGUGGCGAAGGCGGCUAUCUGGACGGUUACUGACGCUAAGACUCGAAAGCGUGGGGAGCAAACAGGAUUAGAUACCCUGGUAGUCCACGCCGUAAACGAUGGGUGCUAGACGUUGGCGAGCUUGCUCGUCAGUGUCGCAGCUAACGCGUUAAGCACCCCGCCUGGGGGAGUACGGCCGCAAGGUUGAAACUCAAAAUGAAUUGACGGGGGUCAUAGCUGUUUCCU
rnacentral:rRNA from 1 species